ncrna:unclassified sequences RT-2 RNA
CCUGGUGAGACCGAGUAGCUCUCUUUAGAGCGAAAGCAGGACCGAUACGGAAGGAGGACUUGCAGCCCUGGCCGUCGGGCCAAAAACACUCCGUCGAUGCGGCCGUCUGGACGCUGCUUGCAUGGCUCGGAAGCGCGCGGGUACCGAGUUUCAUGGACGGCGCCGCUACGCAGUUAUAACACGUGCUCUAUAAAUACCACUGUACGAAGGAGACAAUCUAAUCUAUGACAAG